rnacentral:rRNA from 1 species
GAAUCUGCCCUCAGGAGGGGGAUAACGGUUGGAAACGACCGCUAAUACCCCAUAUGCCGAGAGGUGAAAUGAAAUUCGCCUGAGGAUGAGCUCGCGUCUGAUUAGCUAGUUGGUAAGGUAAUGGCUUACCAAGGCAUUGAUCAGUAGCUGGUCUGAGAGGAUGAUCAGCCACACUGGGACUGAGACACGGCCCAGACUCCUACGGGAGGCAGCAGUGGGGAAUUUUCCGCAAUGGGCGCAAGCCUGACGGAGCAACGCCGCGUGAGGGAUGAAGGCCUCUGGGCUGUAAACCUCUUUUAUCAAGGAAGAAGAACUGACGGUACCUGAUGAAUAAGCCACGGCUAAUUCCGUGCCAGCAGCCGCGGUAAUACGGUAGUGGCAAGCGUUAUCCGGAAUUAUUGGGCGUAAAGCGUCCGCAGGCGGUUUUACAAGUCUGUCGUUAAAGCGUGGAGCUCAACUCCAUUUCAGCGAUGGAAACUGUAAGACUCGAGUGUGGUAGGGGCAGAGGGAAUUCCCGGUGUAGCGGUGAAAUACGUAGAUAUCGGGAAGAACACCAGUGGCGAAAGCGCUCUGCUGGGCCAUAACUGACGCUCAUGGACGAAAGCCAGGGGAGCG